rnacentral:rRNA from 1 species
UGGGGAAUAUUGGACAAUGGGCGAAAGCCUGAUCCAGCCAUGCCGCGUGUGUGAAGAAGGUCUUCGGAUUGUAAAGCACUUUAAGUUGGGAGGAAGGGCAGUAAAUUAAUACUUUGCUGUUUUGACGUUACCGACAGAAUAAGCACCGGCUAACUCUGUGCCAGCAGCCGCGGUAAUACAGAGGGUGCAAGCGUUAAUCGGAAUUACUGGGCGUAAAGCGCGCGUAGGUGGUUUGUUAAGUUGGAUGUGAAAGCCCCGGGCUCAACCUGGGAACUGCAUCCAAAACUGGCAAGCUAGAGUAUGGUAGAGGGUGGUGGAAUUUCCUGUGUAGCGGUGAAAUGCGUAGAUAUAGGAAGGAACACCAGUGGCGAAGGCGACCACCUGGACUGAUACUGACACUGAGGUGCGAAAAGCGUGGGGAGCAAAACGGGAUUAGAUACCCUGGUAGUCCACGCCGUAAAACGAUGUCAACUAGCCGUUGGGAGUCUUGAACUCUUAGUGGCGCAGCUAACGCAUUAAGUUGACCGCCUGGGGAGUACGGCCGCAAGGUUAAAAGCUCAAAGGAAUUGACGGGGUCAUAGC